UCAGCUAUAGUUUGUUUGAUGGCAUCUACUACUCGGAUAACCGUAGUAAUUCUAGAGCUAAUACGCGCAACAAACCCCGACUUCUGGAAGGAUACAUUUAUUAGAUAAAAGGUCGACGCGGGUUCUGCCCAUUGCUGUGAUGAUUCAUGAUAACUCGACGGAUCGCACGGCUAUCGUGCCGGCAACACAUCAUUCAAAUUUCUGC
rnacentral:ncRNA from 1 species